AACUACCCAAAAAUUCCCAAAUUGAACCCACUAGCCCUAACCUAACCUAGCCACCUCCUUACCCACCGCCACACCCUCCUUUCCCCAACAACACCCACACACAACAGAACCCACAUACCUCAACAGAAAAAAAAAAGAGAAAAAAAUAAAAGAAAAGGAAAGGGAAAUCGGAGGGAAGGGGAGAGCCGAGAGGAGAAGAGGGGAGGGAGGCGCACCGGCGUUGCUGGGCCUCGCCGCCGCCAUCGCGUCCUCACCGAGCCUUGGAGGGAGACCGCGCCACCACAUGCAGCCAUCACCGCUGCGCCGCAUCGCUGCUCCGGCGCCGUUCACGCUUCUGUCACCGUCAGAACCGCACGCCGCCGUUGGAAGUAUUUUCAUCGUCGCCGUUAAUGGAGCUUGGUGAAUAGUGGGAAGACGCGCGAGGAAGGAGAAGCCUUCGCCAUCGCGCCUUGUGCUUCCAGUUUCCGUCGUCACCGUGCAGAGCCGCCGCCAUCGUCAUCAUCACGGGCUGCUGCUGCUGCGCGUGCGAUCAUCGCCGCCUCUGGGUCCGUCACCGUCGAGCCUGGUCGCGGGCAGAAGAAGGAGAAGAGACCUCCGUCACCGCCGAGCCAAACGCAGGAGAGAGAAGGAGCCCGCGGGAGAGGAGCUUGUUACCGUCGCUUCUACCGCCGGAAAACACCUCUGCUGCCACUGAGAUCUGUCGCCGUCGCCGUUGCCGGAGUUCUGGUCGCCGCUGCCGUUCGAGGUGGCUCCCGGAGCUGUUGCCAAACCGGUUCAGCGACCGCCGCUGUUUCAUUUUCUUAGUUCGGGUCGUGUUUUGAGCGUUGCACGUCGCUUUUAAGUUGCUGUGAGUGCUGCGAAAGUGAUCAGGGGCUGAGUUUGCGGUUGCUAUCGGUUUCGGGUUAAGAGAAACGGUUUCGUUGACGCGUUUUGAGUUAUGGUUUCGACGAGUCGAGCUUUACCUUUUCAGGAACCGGAUGAAGAAGCGUUAAGAAGAGUUAUACU